rnacentral:rRNA from 1 species
GAUGAACGCUAGCGGCAGGCUUAAUACAUGCAAGUCGAGGGGCAGCAGGUCUGUAGCAAUACAGAUGCUGGCGACCGGCAAACGGGUGCGGAACACGUACAGAACCUUCCUUCGAGCGGGGAAUAGCCCAGAGAAAUUUGGAUUAAUACCCCAUAGUAUUGUGGAGUGGCAUCACUUUACAAUUAAAGUAUUUAUCACUUGAAGAUGGCUGUGCGGCUGAUUAGGUAGUUGGCGGGGUAACGGCCCACCAAGCCUGCAAUCAGUAACUGGUGUGAGAGCACGACCAGUCACACGGGCACUGAGACACGGGCCCGACUCCUACGGGAGGCAGCAGUAAGGAAUAUUGGUCAAUAGGACGAAAGUCUGAACCAGCCAUGCCGCGUGGAGGAUGAAGGUCCUCU